UUGUGCUUUUGCCCUGUCUCUGCUGAGCACUAGUCCAGUAAUUGAGUUAGGGCACCUGCUUCCUUCAUGACUAGCAGUGGGAAAGAAGACAACUGAUUUCAGAUGAGGUCUCCACAAGCCUCCACGGUUUCACACCAGGAGGAGGAUCCUCGGAAGUCCGUGGCUGUGGAUCGCAUAGAAACAUGUAGUAGCACUGUUCGAAAUGCACCUGCUACUCAGGAGGCAAGGGACAGCCAGCUGCAGGAAAGGUCAUCUCCACUGCCCAGCGCAAGAACAGAAGUCACGGACACAGCCGCCAAUGCAGCAAUGGAACGGCCAAGCAUUGACCCCUCAGAGGAUGCAGCUACAGACCCUGUUGCUGCAGACGAGGAGCGAACACUGUCCCCAGCUAGCCGUCUCAUGUCCUCAAGGCAAAGACGCAGACGCAGAGGCAUGCUCUAUGCCCAAGAACGGAUGGUCGAGGUUUACCAGGCAGAGGCCAGGCUGGCUAGGCAGCAGGCAGCAGAGACGGAGAGGGAUUACCUCAGUUUCCUUCGAGAGGAGGCAAGGGAGUGUUCCCAUGAACGGGCAGCACUGGAGAGGAGCCUAGAGGAACAUUCUGCACUGUUCCGUUCCCUGGUAGCAGCUGUCGAAAACAUCUCGAGCAGCAUGAACAGACCAAGGGAGACGGUCACGAGCUCGCAGCCGUUUCGGUCGGUCUCGAUUAGCAGCCCGCAUUGUAAGUCGGCAGCAGCAAAGUAAUAGCAGCAGCAGCCACUCAGCAACAGCAGCUUCCUUGACCCUAACUCCCCCCCCCGGCGCCAGUGGCUGCCCAUGAGCCAGAGCCACGCCGCAUGCAGCGUGUUCCAAAGCUUAGAGUGCUAUUCUCUCCGUAGCUUGCAUACACGUUUAUUUGGCGGGGGGAGGUACGUUAACUGCACCUUUGCACUUCAGUGUUUGUGUUCUGUUGUUGUGUUGACUACCUGUUUGCACUACUGUUUCUCUUACUGCACUGUUCAAUAAAGGUUUACACAACAUUUUCCA
rnacentral:lncRNA from 1 species